rnacentral:rRNA from 1 species
ACUUAAACUAAAGCCAAACAUCUUCAAGACUGUUAUACGUACCCGAAGACAGGAAACUCAACCACGAAAGUAGCUUUAUUUAAUCUGACCCCACGAAAGCUACGGUACAAACUGGGAUUAGAUACCCCACUAUGCCUAGCCAUAAACAUUGAUAGUAUUUUACACCCACUAUCCGCCCGGGUACUACGAGCAACAGCUUAAAACCCAAAGGACUUGGCGGUGCUUUAGACCCACCUAGAGGAGCCUGUUCUAGAACCGAUAACCCCCGUUCAACCUCACCCUUCCUUGUUUUUCCCGCCUAUAUACCGCCGUCGUCAGCUUACCCUGUGAGGGACAAAUAGUAAGCAAAACUGGCACAGCCUAAAACGUCAGGUCGAGGUGUAGCGUAUGGAGGGGGAAGAAAUGGGCUACAUUCGCUACAGUAGCGAACACGAAAGAUGAGCUGAAACGUUUAUCUGAAGGAGGAUUUAGCAGUAAGCAGGAAAUAGAGCGUCCCGCUGAAACUGGCCCUGAAGCGCGCACACACCGCCCGUCACUCUCCCCAAAACCACACCCCCGUUAAUUAAAACCUAAUAACCAACAAGGGGAGGCAAGUCGUAA